AAUCCGUGGUGCAGGAAUUUUAGAAUCAACAUUUUCAAGUGCUCCCAUGCGUUAAAGAAACUUUCCCCUUCUAUCUAUCUAAAGAUAGCAAUCUCUCUUCUUAGUUG
rnacentral:snoRNA from 1 species